GAUGAACGCUGGCGGCGUGCUUAACACAUGCAAGUCGAACGAUGAGGCCCAGCUUGCUGGGUGGAUUAGUGGCGAACGGGUGAGUAACACGUGAGUAACCUGCCCUUAACUCUGGGGUAAGCCUGGGAAACUGGGUCUAAUACCGGAUAGGAGCGCCUACCGCAUGGUGGGUGUUGGAAAGAUUUAUCGGUUUUGGAUGGACUCGCGGCCUAUCAGCUUGUUGGUGAGGUAAUGGCUCACCAAGGCGACGACGGGUAGCCGGCCUGAGAGGGUGACCGGCACCCUGGGACCGAGGCCACGGCCCGACUCCUUCGGGGGGGCGGCGUGGGGGAUAUUGCACCAUGGGCGGAAGCCUGAAGCCGCGGCGCCGCGUGGGGGGAGGAGGGCUUCGGGUUGUAAACCCCUUUUAGUUGGGAAGGAGCGGAAGUGGCGGUACCUGCAGAAGAAGCACCGGCUAACUACGUG
rnacentral:rRNA from 1 species